GAUCAAGCUACAAAGAGCGUAUGGUGGAUGCCUUGGCACUAAGCGCCGAUGAAGGACGUGACUAACUGCGAUAAGCUGCGGGGAACAGUAAAUAUGUAUUGAUCCGCAGAUCUCCGAAUGAGGAAACUCGCUGCAUGGAAGAUGCAGCAUCUUUACACAAAUAAAUAGUGUACUGAAGGGAACCCGGUGAACUGAAACAUCUCAUUAACCGGAGGAAAAGAAAGUAAAUUAACGAUUUCCAGAGUAGUGGCGAGCGAAAUGGAAAGAGCCCAAACUUUCAGUAGUGAUAUUGAAAGGGUUACGGACCCCUGUGUGAUUAAGUAUUGGUAGUCGAAGCAUCUGGAAAGUUGCAUCAUAGAGAGUGAAAGUCUCGUAGGCGAAACCGAUAUUUAACUUGGGGGUAUCCAGAGUACUGCAGGACACGAGGAAUCCGGCAGGAAUAUGCGAGGACCAUCUCGUAAGGCUAAAUACGACUUAGUGACCGAUAGAGUAUAGUACCGUGAGGGAAAGAUG
rnacentral:rRNA from 1 species